GUGUGAAUGCUCUGAUUCCAGAUGUGC
rnacentral:piRNA from 1 species